AAUCCAUGCAUCAGAUAUUUUUGAAAUAAUUCUUUAAAUCGUUCACAGGCUUUAAACAUCAUUUCAUCCUCUGAUUGCCAAAAAGAUGUGAUGUCAUUUCUAAGUUU
rfam:Gossypium arboreum cultivar AKA8401 contig_47631_1, whole genome shotgun sequence.